UAUUAUUUUUUGUCUCGUACAUUUUUGACCCACUAUGCACCACUGUCUGGGGCCAUGUACGAACACAGUUUAUCGUACAUUUUUAUAGCUGUCAGUGCGUUGGCUGUCAAGUGUCAAAAACAUUUGCAACGCGCUCAGCGCCGUGCGGGCAAAAUGCAAAAUGCAAAUGCACUUACGAACGUCUCUCGCCAAAUGCCUGACAAUGACAAGCCAACAGAAGAAACAUACAUAUUGUACAUAUAUAAAUAUAUAUACAACUUGCACGAUGGAUUCGCAUUGUUUGCCACACAGAAAGAGAGAGAGAGAGACAGAGAGAGAUGGAGAGAGAUAUGUAUUACACAAGUCAGAGUGGGGAUUUGUACAAUAGUUUCGAACAGGGGCGACUAUCUGACUGACUGACUGACUGACAUGACUGAACGUGUGUAAUGAUUAUGGGUAUGAUGUUGAUGAUGCUCUGACAUUGCCCUGACGCCUUGAUUAAACUGUCAUUUAACUUCAUUUAUUUUGACAUAAAACUGACAAGAGAGAGACCCUCAUCCCAAGCCAAGUGGCAGAAUAUAUUCAAUUUCAGCGAAUAAAAUGUGCACGAGAGAGAAAUGGCUUAUUUUAAAGCCCGAUGAGGUCACCUAUCUAACUAUCUAACAAUCUAUCGGAUUGAAAGUUCAAUUAAUAGAUCAAGGCACGAAUUAUAUUGCUUAUUCUAUGGUUUAUCUGAUUAAGUAACAAAUCAAUUGCACAAGUCAUUCGAUUCGAUUCGAUUCGAUUCGUUGAGGAGGCAACAACACUCAUUUAAUGCUAAAUAACAAGUGAUUAAAAUUCGCUUUGCGCCGCCGAUAUAAAGCUGUCACUAGACAUAAAUUACAAUAUGUCAGGUCUCAAGAACCUUUGACUUUUAUUAAUGUAAACAUGGAAAGCAACACGCAUGCUGAACAGACACAGGCACAGCUACAGCUACAGCUACAGCUACAACAUGCUGACACUGAAAGCCGAGAUAAGUUACCCACAAGACUCGGGGCCGGGCCCCAAGACUCGAGGCCAAAAGACGGAGGGAGAGACCCAAAGACUGGCUCCACAGAGCCAGGCAGGCAGCACGCUGACAGGCAAAAGUCUGGACCGAAAGAAGAUGCAAUACUUGAGGUUCGUUUGGGCCCUUGAUUAUGGUAUAAUUCUUACUACCACAGCCAGAGCCAGAGCCCAGAGCCCAGAGCCAGUCUCAGCCCCAUUUCGCAUACUCCUCUCCUCUGUGUCUCUCUCCUCUCUCGCUGUUUUGUGUCUGUUUGCGCGCUCACUUAGCGAUCAUAUCAUUUUGACAUGCUCGUGUGUUUAAGCUGUCAAAUUGCCUGCUGUCUACGGAUGCUGUUCCGUUCCUCUAGGAGAGUCUAGGAGAGGAGAGUCUUAACUAUCUUUUUGAACUCCUCGUAGACUGUAGACUGUAGACUGCAGACUGUGCUGUGGCCGCCUGUUGGAGCCGCGCGCUUGUCUUGUCUAUUUGUAUCUGGACAGGCACUUCUCGGCCUUAAGUUGACGUGUUACGCUGUCAGCAUGGAGAAAACCUCAAUUUCAAACUGUCAGUUUAUAUGUCAGCUUCAACUGACAGUUCUCCAUGUUGGCGCUGUCUCUUUUUCUUCGUUUCGUUUCGUUACGUUGGCUCCGGCUCUGGCUCUGGCUUUUCCACAGAUACAAAUACAGAUACCAUACCGCGUAGAGGCUACAGUCUACAGCCGACAGACAGGGAGAUACUUAGAUGGGCAUUUGAAUAAUGCGCACACAACUCUCUGGCUUACCAAAGAGGUUUGGUUUCGCUCUGUUAUGGCGGGGAUACUUGCUGUUCAUUUGGCCAUGAUCCUAACUCUAUUCAUGGUGUGCGCUUCAACACGGGGGAAACAACUCAUUCGUGGCUGCUGUCUACUGUCUACCGUCUACAAGUUGAAUGGGCAAGAGAUACGAGUACGACUAAGAGCACACACCAGUACACCAGCUUGCGGAAUCCGGUGAUGAUUUCCACUGAUACUAGAUAAAGCAUUACAGGCGACUCUUUCUGGGAAACAAUGUUAAGUGUUGUAACCACACAUUGCCACUGAAAUGAUUGUUGGAUAACUGUAAACCGACUGAAUGUCCGACUAAUAUUAUGACGUUCCGUCUAUUUAGAAUACUAAGAUUAUGCAGAUUUCUAGAUCAAUGCUAUUUUCUGCGCCAACCCCUGGCUCACUCGCACUGUAAUGAGUAAAAUAUCGGAUAGCGACGAGCCAAAAUAUAUUUAAUAAAAAUAUAAGGUAAAUGACUUAUCCCAGAAAUAUUUAUAAAGAUUCUUCGAAUACAAUACUUGUAGAUAUAUCAUAAUAGAGGUGUAAAGUGCUACCCUUCCCAGUCACUGUUCCUGCUCCCAUUCACAGUGAUUCCCAGCCACAAAUACCCUACCCUCAGCGCACUUCCUUUAGGAAGACAGAACGACAGCCGGACAGUUCCUUUUGGACUGUUCUCAAGCGAUAAAUAAAGUUGUGAACAUUG
rnacentral:misc_RNA from 1 species